rnacentral:rRNA from 1 species
GAUGAACGCUGGCGGCGUGCCUAAUACAUGCAAGUCGAGCGAAUGGAUUAAGAGCUUGCUCUUAUGAAGUUAGCGGCGGACGGGUGAGUAACACGUGGGUAACCUGCCCAUAAGACUGGGAUAACUACGGGAAACCGGGGCUAAUACCGGAUAACAUUUUGAACCGCAUGGUUCGAAAUUGAAAGGCGGCUUCGGCUGUCACUUAUGGAUGGACCCGCGUCGCAUUAGUUAGUUGGUGAGGUAACGGCUCAACAAGGCAACGAUGCGUGGCCGACCUGAGAGGGUGAUCGGCCACACUGGGACUGAGACACGGCCCAGACUCCUACGGGAGGCAGCAGUAGGGAAUCUUCCGCAAUGGACGAAAGCCUGACGGAGCAACGCCGCGUGAGUGAUGAAGGCUUUCGGGUCGUAAAACUCUGUUGUUAGGGAAGAACAAGUGCUAGUUGAAUAAGCUGGCACCUUGACGGUACCUAACCAGAAAGCCACGGCUAACUACGUGCCAGCCGCCGCAGUAA